rnacentral:rRNA from 1 species
AUAACGCUGGCGGCGUGCCUAAUACAUGCAAGUCGAAUGGUAGCAAUACCAUGGCGAACGGGUGAGUAACACGUAGGUAACCUGUCCUUAAGACGAGGAUAACCGUUGGAAACGACGGAUAAUACUGGAUAGGAGGAAUUGAGGCAUCUUAAUUUCUUUAAAGAUUUAUCACUUGAGGAGGGGCCUGCGGCGCAUUAGCUAGAUGGCGGGGUAAUAGCCCACCCAUGGCAAUGAUGCGUAGCCGGACUGAGAGGUUGAACGGCCACAAUGGAACUGAGAACGGUCCAUACUCCUACGGGAGGCAGCAGUAGGGAAUUUUCGGCAAUGGGCGAAAGCCUGACCGAGCAACGCCGCGUGAACGAAGAAGUAUUUCGGUAUGUAAAGUUCUUUUAUUAGGGAAGAAAAGAUCAAGAUUGACGGUACCUAAUGAAUAAGCUCCGGCUAACUACGUGCCAGCCGCGGC